rnacentral:rRNA from 1 species
AUGCAGCGGCAGCUCAACCUCUCGCCGGCGCCGAAGCAGCAGCAGCACGACGACGGCGACGGCGGCGACGCGGUGGAAGCGAUCCCCCUUUGGGUGCCCGAGCAGUCCGCGGAGGCCAAGGCCGACAAGGCGCCCGGCGGCCGCCCGGAGAGGUCCAUCCACCUCAUCCCACUGCUCACCUUCCUCUGCUUCCUCCUCCUCUUCCUCUGCUCCCACGCCCCCUCCUCCUCCGCUUCGGCGGUGGCGGUGGCGGCGCCGGCGCCGGCGGACGGAAGGCUGGCAACCGGAGGCUGA